GAGUUUGAUCCUGGCUCAGAAUAAACGCUGGCGGCGUGCUUAACACAUGCAAGUCGAGCGAGAAAAGCCUUCGGGCUGAGUAAAGCGGCGAACGGGUGAGUAAAGCGUGGGAAUCUGCCUUUUAGUGAGGAAUACCCUUGAGAAAUUGAGGUUAAUACUGCAUAAGUCCCUUCGGGGAGAAAGAUGGCCUCUUGCUAUCGCUAAAAGAUGAGCCCGCGUACUAUUAGCUAGUUGGUGGGGUAAAGGCCUACCAAGGCGAUGAUGGUUAGUCGGCCUGAGAGGGUGUACGACCACACUGGAACUUAGACACGGUCCAGACUCCUACGGGAGGCAGCAGUGAGGAAUAUUGCGCAAUGGGCGAAAGCCUGACGCAGCGACGCCGCGUGGAGGAUGAAGGUCUUUGGAUUGUAAACUUCUGUUAAGUGGGAAGAAAGACGGGAUUUUAAUACGAUCCCGGGAUGACGGUACCAUUAGAGAAAGCACCGGCUAACUUCGUGCCAGCAGCCGCGGUAAUACGAAGGGUGCUAGCGUUAUUCGGAAUUAUUGGGCGUAAAGGGUGCGCAGGCGGUAUGUUAAGUCAACUGUUAAAUACCUCAGCUUAACUGGGGAUCAGCGGUAGAUACUGGCAUACUAGAGAAUGGAAGAGAGAAGUGGAAUUCUUGGAGUAGCGGUAAAAUGCGUAGAUCUCAAGAGGAACACCGAUGGCGAAGGCAGCUUCUUGGUCCAUUUCUGACGCUCAUGCACGAAAGCGUGGGGAGCAAACAGGAUUAGAUACCCUGGUAGUCCACGCCGUAAACGAUGAUCACUAGACGUCAGUUUCGCUUUGCGAAAUUGGUGUCGCAGCUAACGCGUUAAGUGAUCCGCCUGGGGACUACGGUCGCAAGAUUAAAACUUAAAGGAAUUGACGGGGGUCCGCACAAGCGGUGGAACAUGUGGUUUAAUUCGACACUACGCGAGGAACCUUACCUAGGUUUGACAUGCAUAUGACCUCUAUAGAAAUAUAGCUUUUUAAGGGCAACCUUAAACAUAUGCACAGGUGGUGCAU
rnacentral:rRNA from 1 species